rnacentral:rRNA from 1 species
GACGAACGCUGGCGGCGUGCUUAACACAUGCAAGUCGAACGGAAAGGCCCUGCUUUUGUGGGGUGCUCGAGUGGCGAACGGGUGAGUAACACGUGAGUAACCUGCCCUUGACUUUGGGAUAACUUCAGGAAACUGGGGCUAAUACCGGAUAGGAGCUCCUGCUGCAUGGUGGGGGUUGGAAAGUUUCGGCGGUUGGGGAUGGACGCGCGGCUUAUCAGCUUGUUGGUGGGGUAGUGGCUUACCAAGGCUUUGACGGGUAGCCGGCCUGAGAGGGUGACCGGCCACAUUGGGACUGAGAUACGGCCCAGACUCGUACGGGAGGCAGCAGUGGGGAAUAUUGCACAAUGGGCGGAAGCCUGAUGCAGCAACGCCGCGUGCGGGAUGACGGCCUUCGGGCUGUAAACCGCUUUCGCCUGUGACGAAGCGUGAGUGACGGUAAUGGGUAAAGAAGCACCGGCUAACUACGUG